AGUUAGGGCUCGACUCCGGAGAACAAGCCUGAGAAACGGCUAGUAGGACUAAGGUCUGCAGCAGGCGCGAAACUUACACAAUGCUAGAUUACAAUUAGCGAUGUAGUGAAGAAAAAUAACGAUGUAUUUCCAUUUAAACAUGGUAGUACAAUUGGAAUGAGACGACUUUAAAUCAGUUAGUCGAGUAACAAAUGGAGGGCAAGUCUGGUGCCAGCAGCCGCGGUAAUUCCAGCUCCAUUAGCAUACAUUAAAGUUGUUGCGGUUAAAAAGCUCGUAGUUGAAUUUUAGGCGGGCUCUAUUGGGGUGCAAUCGUUAAGGUCCUCUGGUCUUAGGUUCGCCCUAUCCAGUGUGACUGGUUGUCAUCUUCCUAUAGGAACUCGCUGUUUCGUCACUUAAUCGAGUGCGAAGCGGGCUGGAACGAGGGUACGACUUCGGUCUACCUUGUCUCAGCAUCUUUAACCUUGAGAAAAUUAGAGUGCUUCACAGCAGGCAGUUGGGGUGUAAAAGCUCCUUUAUGCUUGAAUAAUGUUGCAUGGAAUAAUAGAAUACGGCCUCGGUUCUAUUCUGUUGGUCUUAUAGAACAACAAACAAGUUGGUUAAAGCGAUCAAAAGUCUAUAUGUGAGUGUGGUCUAGAGGUAGCUUUUUAGUUGCUGGCUAGCUUCCGGAUAUGUCUUGUUGCCUGGGGCCAAAAUCUCAGAGCCUUACAUCCCGGCAAGUUGCCUUCUUUUCUAACUAGCACGCCUCUUUUCCAUCCAAAGCACUCCUUAUACGGCUAGCUUCUAAUCAACUGAGGCAAUGGUUAAAAGAAAUAGUCGCGGCGGCAUCAGUACUGCAUCGUGAGAGGUGAAAUUCUUAGACCGAUGCAAGACUAACUGAAGCGAAAGCGUUUGCCGAGGAUAUUUUCAUUAAUCAAGAACGAAAGUUAGAGGUUCGAAGGCGAUCAGAUACCGCCCUAGUUCUAACCAUAAACGUUGCCAACUAGCAAUUGGGUUGCGAUUCCUUUAAUCGAAGCUUAAAAACCUUCGAUCAUUAUGAUCCACCCAGCGGCUCUCGUAGGGAAACCAAAGUGUUUGGGUUCCGGGGGAAGUAUGAUUGCAAAGUUGAAACUUAAAGGAAUUGACGGAAGGGCACCACCAGGAGUGGAGCCUGCGGCUUAAUUUGACUCAACACGGGGAAACUUACUAGAUUAGAACUCUGGAAUGAUUGACAGAUUGAUAGCUCUUUCUUGAUUCAGAGGAUGGUGGUGCAUGGCCGUUCUUGAUUCGUAUUCCGAAACGUCUGCUUAAUUGCGAUAACGAGUGAGACCUCAUCCAACUAACUAGUCGUUUGGUGCGCUGUGGAACGCAAAAGUCUUGGUGGGAUUUUCCUAGUAGGUUGCCGGUUCGCUGGUGGAUCUGCUAGGUGCCCAUUUAAGAUGUUCUCUGCUCGCCAGCGGACUUCUUAGAGGGAUAAACGGUGCUUUAGCCGUAAGAAACGAGGCAAUAACAGGUCUGUGAUGC
rnacentral:rRNA from 1 species